rnacentral:rRNA from 1 species
AUACGUAUGUCGCAAGCGUUAUCCGGAUUUAUUGGGCGUAAAGCGCGUCUAGGCGGCUUAGUAAGUCUGAUGUGAAAAUGCGGGGCUCAACCCCGUAUUGCGUUGGAAACUGCUAAACUAGAGUACUGGAGAGGUAGGCGGAACUACAAGUGGAGAGGUGAAAUUCGUAGAUAUUUGUAGGAAUGCCGAUGGGGAAGCCAGCCUACUGGACAGAUACUGACGCUAAAGCGCGAAAGCGUGGGUAGCAAACAGGAUUAGAUACCCUGGUAGUCCACGCCGUAAACGAUGAUUACUAGGUGUUGGGGGUCGAACCUCAGCGCCCAAGCUAACGCGAUAAGUAAUCCGCCUGGGGAGUACGUACGCAAGUAUGAAACUCAAAUGAAUUGACGGGG